GCACUAGGGAGAAAGCUUUGUGAAGUCAACAGAGAGGAAAUUAAAAGGCAGGGCUAAUUAGCACUGGGAAAACAUCAUUAUUAAAAAAAAAAAUUUUUUUUUUUUUGGAGAUAGAUCGAUUACCGCACGAGACCUGGUCAUGUUUGUAUUACCUGUAGAUCUGUUGUCUAUAACACUGUGGGACUUGAGAGCUCAAACAUGGUGAGAAUCAAAACAGGUGCCCCCGCCUGUUCCCAUUAUGCACAUUAGCCCGUGGCCUGUGCACAGCCUGUUAAACAGCUGAAUUUGAAACAAUCAUGGUGCAGGCCAAACAUUAGCCCGAAGGCCUGUCUGUCUAGGGAUUUGGCCAUUUACAUUGACUUUUUUUUUUUUACCCACAUUUUUCAUGAAACACAAAUAUUUGCCAUGGCAACUGGGGUGUCACAUGACAUGCUGGUACAUAAACAGCUUGGAAAUCUCUUAAGGGGGCACAGCCCACCAGUGCUGCAAAUCCAGGGAAAACAUCUUGAGGAAGAUGAAGGUCUGGGAAGAGCAGCAAGAGAGUUCAAGAAGAAGUUGGGGAGUCCAUCCUGCAUUUUCCGAGACAACUCUCUCUUCUGGAUGUUGUUAAUCUUUCACCUCAUGCUGGACAUGUGCGGAUCUGAGGUGAAGCUUAAAUGGCAGAAUAGAACACCCUGAUUUUAGCUGAGCAUAUGGCUAUCCAGUCGCAGACUACAUUUUCCAGUGUGGCUAAGUGUGGACAUGUGACCAAAAUCAGACCAGUAAGACGUAGGCAGCGGUGGUAAGUGUAACCUCUGGGCCAUCUCCUUAGAAUGCCUACCCUGGACUAUCUUUAUCAUUCCUAUGGGCUGAAAGUAUAGAGAGGAGCCAGCUUCAACCACUGGAACGAGAGUGUCUGUAACCACAGGAACGAGAUGAUACAGCCUCCAGAGAGAAGGAAGCAGAGUCAUCCUGUGAGCCUUAGACUUUUCAUGUGUGGACUGUUUUGUGAACAAGAAAUAAAUUGAUCUAUUUAUGGCAUUAUAUUUUCGGAUUUCUUUGUUACAGCAGCUUAGCCUGUAACGAACUACUAUGCGUAUCUAUUAGCUUCUAAUUAAUGUCCUUUGUCUUUUUCCGUUGCGUUUGCUGUGCUUACAGUCUUUUCUCCGCGCCCAUAUUUCAGUAUUCAGCAGUGUGUGUUCUGUUCUUCCUAUUUAUAGUUUAUUUAUUAGUUCCAUAAAGUAUUUUGGUAUUCAAUUUGUUUCCUUAUGUCUGCAACCUCCCUUUUUAUCUCAUUCUGCUAUUUUAUCAUCUCAUGGUUGAGUUCUAGUUUUACUUAAUUUAUGUUCCUAGCAAGCUGUGCUAUCAUAUGGAGAAAUUGUGAGAAAAUUCCUUCUGUUCCUUGAGUUAUAUUUUUUUCCAGGUUAGGCUUUGUCUUUUGCAGCCCAUAGUUCUCCCUCCCCCCUUCCUCUUCCUCUCUUUUUGUUAGCUGUGGGUGAAAUACUGGCAUUUAUGUAAUAAAUCAGCAUAGUGGCUGUAUUGUUUCUUUCCCCCUUGUAUAUUCUUGGGCAGCUCUGCCCAGACAAUCUGCUUGCUCUGAUGUAGCAUCUCGUCCCCCGUAGUCUGCUACCAGUGUGUUUUCCUUCCCAUGUGAGAAGCAGGUACUCUGGGUCUCCUGUACCUUUCUGUUAGCUGAGGGCCUGGGUCAGGGAAGCCUCCAUUUUAGGAUAUAUACAGUCUCUGUUAAAAUAUGUAGGCUCUCUCCCCUCUCCUGAGGUUUUGAUGAACAUCCUAUAUCAGGGUUUGCUCUACUUAGUUGAGGAUGAAUCCCUCCCUCCCUCCCUCUAGCCCCAGGGGUUUUGGAUCAUUUCAGUAGAAGCCUGAAGACUUCACUUCUCUCUGGAAGAAUCAGACAUUGUUUGCUCUCCAAUUUCACCUCUUUCUUCCACGUCCCCUUGUCAAAAGAGAAAAAAAGCAUCAUUUAACAUAGGGACAGUCCGGGCCUCACUUUCUGUCAGAAAAACUCUCCAGCAUUCUUGGAGCUAGAAGAACUCCCUGGAAAGGUAUCUAUAGCAGAAAAGCAAAAACCACGGGCUUGGAGCACUGGAUUUCAGUCCUACCUCUGUCAUUUAAUCAGCAGUGUGCUGGGGUCGUGUUGGUCAGAAAAGGGAAAGGAAGGGAACCAAAGGGAAUCGAUUUUGCUCAGAAUCAGAAUCCUGGGCUGUCGGAACUAGAAGAAAUCUUAGGGAUGGUGUGAUCAACGCCCUAAAUUUACAACUGAACAAACUAAGGCCCAAGGAAUGUAAGUCGUUUGCCCCCAAAUCACAUAGAAGUUAGGGACUGAUUCAGGAUUGGGGUCCAAUAUGAAUGUGGACUUUUCGUAUAAAGGAGAUUGUUAAUAUUAUGUGACGUUAUGGUGUUUUAAAAAAUCUUCCUUUGGCUAACCUGAAAAAUAGUUCUCUUUUCAUAGUUUUCUUAUUUUUUUUUUAAACAUUUUACUUUAACCCAUCAGGAGUUUUCUUUGAUUUAGGAUGUAAAGUUAGGAGUUAACUGAAUGCUCUCUUUCCAACACAUUAAUCCAGUGACUUGGCCCCACACAUCUAACUGUCCCUCCCUUCCCCACCAACUUACACCUUUCCUACAUUCAAACUUAUUUUUUUUACAGUAAGGUCAAUAUCCAUGCUCAUUUUUUUAUUCCAUUGAUCUGUUAAUUUUUCUAUCCAUAGGAUGCUAUUAUAAUUAUGUUAAUGUUAUCAUAUGUUUUAACAAGUUGUAUGAAAAAUUUACCUUCAUUAAUCUUCUUUAGGAGAAAAAAAGUCCUGAAGCUUUUGCCCAUUUAUUUUUCAAGAUGAUGAACACUGACAAGUUGAAAAGAAUUAAUAUUCCACACAAACCAAAUAAAACCCAUAAGUUUUUGGAUUGAAAUUACAUUAGAUAUAAAUAUUAAUUUGGAAACAACUGGAAGUUUUUAUUAUAAUCAUUUUUCCUUUUCAGGAGUAUGAUAUAUUUUUAUGUAUUCAGUUGCUCUUUGAUGUGGCUCAGUAAAUUCGAGACAUAAUGUGUAAAGCUUUAAAAGCACUCUAUGAUGAUCCAGGGAAGGGAAAAUAAAAUUCUACCUGAAGAGAUCUGGGGAGAUAUUUUUAUGGUGGAAAAGAGGAGAGCCUUACAAAUGUAGCCAAAUGAGCUGUAAGUGAAGCAACAGGCCGACCCUGCACUGCCAGAUGGAACGUGUGCAGCACAUUUCCAACCAGGCUGUUUCUGGGAGAUUCCCCAUCUAGCAAGAUUCACACCAGGCAGUCGGACCCAGAAUUGCUAUGCUCAGAGCCAGCAGGUGCUUGGAGUUCAGCAUAGGGUUGGUCUGGAAAUGCAUGCAGGAUCUCAGCACAGAAACUCAGGAAACACGCAAGAAACCCUCAAGAAGUUGGAGAACUCACUACCGCUGGAUUUUUGAUGAAUGAUAUCCGAUGCAAGCAUAGCCUCUGAUGGCUUCUUCCCACCCCAGAGCCGUCGUGGGCUUUUGUGAGAGCCAGAAAGCAGCCGAUGAUAACUCUGUCAUCACUUCCUUCAGCUUUUCCAGUACUCCAAACCCAGGCAGAACUAAAAUUCUAGACGGCAGCCACAUACGAAGGCGAUGCAUGACCCUUCCACCCACCACCGCCACCGCCAUAUUGGUGGGAUAUAUUUUAGGAAAUCAGGAGGAAGGAACAUGAGAAGUCAUUGUUUUCUUGAGAACUCUAAGCAACCUGAUGAGAAAGCGCUCUCUAACGAUAGAGGUGGGGAUGCUGUGCAUGCCAUCACAGUCCUUGGGUAAUGACUGUGUGUCAUAAAUGGGAUAUGGCAUUUCUGAAUGUCUUUAAAGCUAUUUCCUUUUGUUCCACUAAUUUAAUUUACCAAAUGCUCCUGGGAAAAGGGAGGGGGACCAAGAUGCUGACUCCACAUUUCCUGAAAAAUCAACAUUUUCUUUUUAAGCCGCUCUCAAGGAAAUUACGUCUGAUUGUUGUCGGCUGGCUCCCUCAAACUCUACCUCUGUCAGAAUUCUGACCCGGCAGGUGUGAGGAAGAAAUAGAUGCAGAACUUGAGUGAAUACCCACAUCUGUUUUUGGAAAAAAGGAACAGAAGCAGCACAGAAGGAAGUAAAAGAGAUAAUUGCUGGCUUCAACUACAAUACAUUUUACUUGUGGGCAGAGGGCCAGCUUACAGCAGGCUGAAUAUGCAGGCCCAUCUUAUUGGAAUUCAGCGGUGGGCCUCCAUUCUUGUCCGGAGACAGCUGUAAACCAGCAGCCCAUAGCAUCACAAUCAGGCACCGAGUUUUGUCAAGGAAUGCUGAUAUGUACGGAAGCAGCUUUGUCUGCUUCAACUGCACCCCUGCCUAGUGAAAUGACAGUCAAUCUCUGAUUCCAGAUGACAAGAACUGGAUAAAAACUUAAAACAAAUGGCGACCUUUCAAAAGAUUAAUUUGUUUACCAACAAAAUGUCCCCUCUUUGUCAUCUGAGAUGGGGGUGACCUUCACUUUCCCGUAUCUAGGCUGAAAGGAUGCUGACUAUAGUCAUCUGUUAACUCCAUCUCAGCAAUUAUUCCCUUUUUUAUUUUUAGUGACAAGAAGGGUUUAUUAAUUCACUCUGCUUCUUGUUAUGGUUUAUAAAUGCAACAAGCUCAUUCUGAAUUACUGCAGUGUAACAUCAAUUUGUUUAAAUCUAAUUCUGCUACCAUUGCCAAAUUACGUUGUGACUGUAAUUGUGGCCAUAUGCAUGGGCUUAAAACACAAUCAUGUUUUGAAAUCGGCCUUCUUCCCCCCACCUCCCCGAGCACCCCUCCCCCCUACUUCUGGUGCUUCUAAUCAUUUGACAUUAACACAAUUGCCUCGUUUUCCAUUACUUUAUCAUUUCCGAAAUGAAUGUACUUUCACGAGAGAGAUUACUAUGUACACCCCAAGUAAAACAGUAAAGAAUGAAACUAUGAUUUGUGAAGUGUGGUUGCUACCCAACUAAGUUAGUGAACAACACUGCAUAACGGAUGACUCAUAAAAUCGGGAAAUCAUAAUAGUAUUAAAUUCAACCUCAUGAAUAAAUAAAAGAUUCUAAGUUUACAUUGCAUUAUAUAUUUAUUUAUUUGGAAAGUGGGACCAGAACUGGUAUAAUUCUACAGCAACUUAUAUGUUGCCACCAAGAAAAAUGUUUUUAUGCUUCUUUUCUAGGUCAUAACAGUUAUCAUCAGAGUUAUUUGUGCAGCAGUACAAAGCAAUGUUUUGUUUGGCUAUUUUGUUAUGCAUUCAUAAUCGUUCUUUUAAAAUUCAUGCUAACAGAGACAUGUUUCAAGCCUUGUAAGAAACCCCUUUUAUUUAAAACAAAUAAAUCAAAGUCAAAUUUUC